AUUGAACGCUGGCGGCAUGCUUUACACAUGCAAGUCGAACGGCAGCGCGGGCUUCGGCCUGGCGGCGAGUGGCGAACGGGUGAGUAAUACUUCGGAACGUGCCCAGUAGUGGGGGAUAGCUCGGCGAAAGCCGGAUUAAUACCGCAUACGACCUGAGGGUGAAAGCGGGGGAUCUUCGGACCUCGCGCUAUUGGAGCGGCCGAUGGCAGAUUAGCUAGUUGGUGGGGUAAAGGCCUACCAAGGCGACGAUCUGUAGCUGGUCUGAGAGGACGACCAGCCACACUGGGACUGAGACACGGCCCAGACUCCUACGGGAGGCAGCAGUGGGGAAUUUUGGACAAUGGGCGAAAGCCUGAUCCAGCAAUGCCGCGUGUGUGAUGAAGGCCUUCGGGUUGUAAAGCACUUUUGGCGGGAACGAAAAGGACUGUGCCAAUACCACGGUUCGAGGACGGUACCCGCAGAAUAAGCACCGGCUAACUACGU
rnacentral:rRNA from 1 species